rnacentral:rRNA from 1 species
AUUCGCGGCCUAUCAGCUUGUUGGUGAGGUAACGGCUCACCAAGGCUCCGACGGGUAGCUGGUCUGAGAGGACGAUCAGCCACACUGGGACUGAGACACGGCCCAGACUCCUACGGGAGGCAGCAGCAGGGAAUAUCGCACAAUGGGCGAAAACCUGAUGCAGCGACGCCGCGUGAGGGAUGAAUGCCUUCGGGUUGUAAACCUCUUUCAGGAGGGAAGAAGCGAAAGUGACGGUACCUCCAGAAGAAGACCCGGCCAACUACGUGCCAGCAGCCGCGGUAAUACGUAGGGGUCAAGCGUUGUCCGGAUUCAUUGGGCGUAAAGAGCUCGUAGGCGGCUCAGUAAGUCGGUCGUGAAAGCCCGGGGCUCAACCCCGGGACGCCGAUCGAAACUGCUGUGGCUAGGGUUCGGUAGAGGAGAGUGGAAUUCCCGGUGUAGCGGUGAAAUGCGCAGAUAUCGGGAGGAACACCAGUAGCGAAGGCGGCUCUCUGGGCCGACACCGACGCUGAGGAGCGAAAGCUAGGGGAGCAAACAGGAUUAGAUACCCUGGUAGUCCUAGCCGUAAACGUUGGGCACUAGGUGUGGCGGACUCAUUGACGUCUGCCGUGCCGUAGCUAACGCAUUAAGUGCCCCGCCUGGGGAGUACGGAAUCGUCGACCGCAGCCCACC